rnacentral:rRNA from 1 species
CCUACGGGUGGCAGCAGUGAGGAAUAUUGGUCAAUGGGCGCGAGCCUGAACCAGCCAAGUCGCGUGAGGGAAGACGGUCCUAUGGAUUGUAAACCUCUUUUGUCGGGGAGCAACAGACGCCACGCGUGGCGUUCCGAGAGUACCCGAAGAAAAAGCAUCGGCUAACUCCGUGCCAGCAGCCGCGGUAAGACGGAGGAUGCGAGCGUUAUUCGGAUUUAUUGGGUUUAAAGGGUGCGCAGGCGGGAGAUCCAGUCAGCGGUAAAAUUGAGGGGCUCAACCUCUUCGAGCCGUUGAAACUGGUUGUCUUGAGUGAGUGAGAAGUAUGCGGAAUGCGUGGUGUAGCGGUGAAAUGCAUAGAUAUCACGCAGAACUCCGAUUGCGAAGGCAGCAUACCGGCGCUCAACUGACGCUCAUGCACGAAAGUGUGGGUAUCGAACAGGAUUAGAUACCCUUGUAGUC